CUUGGCUGUAUACUGUCAUGCCUAAAUAAUCCUACAACUAAAAAUUUUAAGGGCUUUCACCCAAAAUUGCUAGACAGAACUUCCUCUUUAAUUUGUCACUCGCCUUUUACUUUAUGAUGAACCGCCUCUUACCUAAAAACUGUCAACAAGAGCAAAGACUGGUAAAUUGAGAAUCAAAGGAUGGAGAUAGAUGUUAAAAUCGGUCAUCCUAACUUCUUAUGAUGAUGCAUCAAGCAAAUGACUUGCUGGACUGCGUGCUCAGCAAUGCUGCAUAGAGGCAGAAAUUCAGUGUCCAGAUGUUUCAGAAUCCAGAUGGCCUAUGAAUCCUCUAUCACCCAGAAAGGAGGAAAAUGUGCAUGAAAGUGGAACAUUGAAAAGAAAAGAAAUAAUUUAGCAUUGGUGAGGUAAUGGCAACACACAGGGCUCAAAGAAAAUCUUCUGUUCUGAAAGAAGCAACUUAAUAAAAUGCAUGUUAUAGGCUCUACCAGCAAGCUAAAUUUUCAGCCUUGCCUCUUCUUUCUAUCACCAUUAAGAGGCUUGCAGAGAUCCACACUGUUUAAAGGGCAGACAGCAUGGAAGAACUAUCAUGUACAAUUUAAAGUAGCAGCUAAAAUUGGAAUGGUCACAAGA